GGGGAGGGGAAGGGGGGGCUGGAGAAGAAGGAGGGAGGUCAGGGAAUGGAAAGUCGGAUGAGAUCCUGUUGCAUUUAAGUCCCUGUAAUUUGUCGGGGCUUAGCAGAGACAGUUAUAUGAAGCAGGAAACCCAUUCAACAUGCUUGCGCUGUUUCAACUGACUGUCUGAUGCUCCAGAAAAAAUGCACACUGAGCAUAUGAAUUAUGACAACAUUCCCAUUUCAUUUCUUCAACUAAGCGACAAAGAAACAAACAAACACAGCAAAGACAGGCAGGAUUACACACUUACAUGGUGGCUCAUGGAGAUGGAAUGCAGAGGCUUUAAAAAGCAAUCUGAAGUGUGCUCCCAGGACAGUUCCUAGAUGAAAUACUUUUCCUCCCAACUCUCUUUCUUCUUUGCGAGGCUGUCCGAUACAAAGGGGUGUACUGCAGCUCCAGCUCCCAAAGCCACACGCAGACCACCGCCUGUCUGGACCUGAGGGCUGAGCUUUCUUCUUUUCUUUCUGGCUGUGCCUUUUUACCUUCUUGACAAGUAGAAUGAGGAGAAAGGAGCUGUCCUUUUAAGUCUUUGCAUCUCCAUUUGUCUGCAGCUUCUUUCUGCUCACGCUUGUGUGUCUGUGUGUGCCAAUGCCCCCGGCCGACAGUACUGGACGCCCCUUAAAGUGGAGCCCCAGCUAUUUCUGAAUCUCGCUCUUUCUCUUUUUCGAGUUCCAGGAUCCUUCUUAUCACCCUUUCCCCCACAGUCUGGCUUAGUCCCUUUGUUUCCGAGCGUAAAAGCACUGGGAUUAAUAUAGUUUCCAGGCUGAGGGAAAACACAGGAAUGUGAUGUUGAAAAAGGACUUUUUUCUUUUCCUUACGCUUCUCUCCUCCCUUUAUUUCUUCCCACCUUUUUCUCUUCUCUUUUCCUUCUCCUUUUUCUUCUUCCUCUUGCCUGGAUUCAGUCCCAGCAAUGCCAGGACAACCUCAGUUUUGAUCCAAACCAAACUCAAACAACAGCAGCCACUGGAAAUCAAGGAAACUUCACUAAGAAUUUAACAGAUCAGCAAAACACCGCCUCCUUCCCAUUUCAGCAUGCAUUCACAGUGUAGGACAAACUGAAGAAAUGAACAGCGAAGUCAAGGGGAAAGCCCACAAUAACCAUGAACUCAGGAUGCUGCUGCUGCGGCUGCCCAGAGAAAUUCUGAGAAAGGGUAAUCCCCAAAAAGAAACACUCUGAAAUUGUCUCUGAAAUGUCAACAAGCUCGCAGGUUUAAUCUGAAGUUGAGGAUUCUGCUUGGAUGUGGUGUUGGAUGUCGAGGAAAGUAGGAGGUAAAUGGGACACAGAAGAUUUGACAUUCAUUGCAGCUGCAAACUGUAGGUAUAAUUCUCCAGAGCAAAGGUGGACAAGAAGCAAUUCAUCUAGAAAUUGAAACAG